rnacentral:tRNA from 1 species
GCAGUCGUGGCCGAGUGGUUAAGGCGAUGAACUAGAAAUCCAUCGGGGUCUCCCCGCACAGGUUCGAAUUCUGUCGACUGCG